GACGAACGCUGGCGGCGUGCUUAACACAUGCAAGUCGAACGGUGAAGCGCCUUCCUUUUUGGUGGGUGUGGAUGAGUGGCGAACGGGUGAGUAACACGUGAGUAACCUGCCCCCUUCUUCUGGAUAACCGCAUGAAAGUGUGGCUAAUACGGGAUAUUCUGGGUCUGUCGCAUGAUGGGUCUGGGAAAGAUAUUGUUUCGGUGGGUGAUGGGCUCGCGGCCUAUCAGCUUGUUGGUGGGGUGAUGGCCUACCAAGACGGUGACGGGUAGCCGGCCUGAGAGGGUGGACGGUCACACUGGGACUGAGACACGGCCCAGACUCCUACGGGAGGCAGCAGUGGGGAAUAUUGCACAAUGGGCGCAAGCCUGAUGCAGCGACGCCGCGGGAGGGAUGGAGGCCUUCGGGUUGUGAACCUCUUUCGCCAGUGAAGCAGGCCUGCCUCGUUUGUGGGUGGGUUGACGGUAGCUGGAUAAGAAGCGCCGGCUAACUACGUG
rnacentral:rRNA from 1 species